rnacentral:rRNA from 1 species
GUGAGGAAUAUUGGUCAAUGGACGGAAGUCUGAACCAGCCAUGCCGCGUGCAGGAAUAAGGUCCUAUGGAUUGUAAACUGCUUUUAUUCGGGAAUAAACCUCUUUACGUGUAGGGAGCUGAAGGUACCGAAGGAAUAAGCACCGGCUAACUCCGUGCCAGCAGCCGCGGUAAUACGGAGGGUGCAAGCGUUAUCCGGAAUCACUGGGUUUAAAGGGUACGUAGGCGGUUAAUUAAGUCAGUAGUGAAAGACUGUCGCUCAACGACGGAUGUGCUAUUGAUACUGGUUAACUUGAAUCAGGUUAGAGUUGGCGGAAUGGGUCAUGUAGCGGUGAAAUGCUUAGAUAUGACUUGGAACACCGAUAGCGAAGGCAGCUGACUGAGCCUUGAUUGACGCUGAGGUACGAAAGUGUGGGUAGCGAACAGGAUUAGAAACCCCAGUAGUCC